GGUAACGUGGCCGAGUUGGUUAUGGGUAAGCUUCCGUACUCCUGAUGGACGCAAGUCCGCGCGCGUUCGAAUCGCGUCGUUAUCA